UACAGAGGUCCCAAGCGUUGUUCGGAUUCACUGGGCGUAAAGGGUGCGUAGGUGGGUCUGUAAGUCAGUGGUGAAAUCCCCGAGCUUAACUUGGGAACUGCCGUUGAUACUAUAGAUCUUGAAUAUCGUGGAGGUAAGCGGAAUAUGUCAUGUAGCGGUGAAAUGCUUAGAUAUGACAUAGAACACCAAUUGCGAAGGCAGCUUACUACACGAUCAUUGACACUGAGGCACGAAAGCGUGGGGAGCAAACAGG
rnacentral:rRNA from 1 species